rnacentral:rRNA from 1 species
CUCUCUUGGCGGCGAGUGGCGGACGGGUGAGUAAUAUAUCGGAACGUGCCCAGUAGCGGGGGAUAACUACUCGAAAGAGUGGCUAAUACCGCAUACGCCCUACGGGGGAAAGGGGGGGAUCGCAAGACCUCUCACUAUUGGAGCGGCCGAUAUCGGAUUAGCUAGUUGGUGGGGUAAAGGCUCACCAAGGCAACGAUCCGUAGCUGGUUUGAGAGGACGACCAGCCACACUGGGACUGAGACACGGCCCAGACUCCUACGGGAGGCAGCAGUGGGGAAUUUUGGACAAUGGGGGAAACCCUGAUCCAGCCAUCCCGCGUGUAUGAUGAAGGCCUUCGGGUUGUAAAGUACUUUUGGCAGAGAAGAAAAGGUAUCCCCUAAUACGGGAUACUGCUGACGGUAUCUGCAGAAUAAGCACCGGCUAACUACGUGCCAGCAGCCGCGGUAAUACGUAGGGUGCAAGCGUUAAUCGGAAUUACUGGGCGUAAAGCGUGUGUAGGCGGUUCGGAAAGAAAGAUGUGAAAUCCCAGGGCUCAACCUUGGAACUGCAUUUUUAACUGCCGAGCUAGAGUAUGUCAGAGGGGGGUAGAAUUCCACGUGUAGCAGUGAAAUGCGUAGAUA